rnacentral:rRNA from 1 species
GACGAACGCUGGCGGCGUGCCUAAUACAUGCAAGUAGAACGCUGAAGGAGGAGCUUGCUUCUCUGGAUGAGUUGCGAACGGGUGAGUAACGCGUAGGUAACCUGCCUGGUAGCGGGGGAUAACUAUUGGAAACGAUAGCUAAUACCGCAUAAUAGUAGAUGUUGCAUGACAUUUGCUUAAAAGGUGCAAUUGCAUCACUACCAGAUGGACCUGCGUUGUAUUAGCUAGUUGGUGGGGUAACGGCUCACCAAGGCGACGAUACAUAGCCGACCUGAGAGGGGGGUCGGCCCAACUGGGACUGGGAAACGGCCCAGACCUCUAAGGGGGGCAGCAGUAGGGAAUCUUCGGACAUUGACGGAAGUCUGACCGAGCAACGCCGCGUGGGUGAAGAAGGUUUUCGGAUCGUAAAGCUCUGUUGUAAGGGAAGAACGAGUGUGAGAGUGGAAAGUUCACACUGUGACGGUAUCUUACCAGAAAGGGACGGCUAACUACGUG